GAUGAAGAACGCAGCGAAAUGCGAUACGUAAUGUGAAUUGCAGAAUUCAGUGAAUCAUCGAAUCUUUGAACGCAUAUUGCGCUCUCUGGUAUUCCGGAGAGCAUGCUUGUUUGAGUAUCAGUAAACACCUCAACUUCCAUAUCUUUUUUGAAAUGGGAGUUGGACUUGAGUGAUCCCAACGCUUUUCCUCACCGAAAAGUGGCGGGUUACUUGAAAUGCAGGUGCAGCUGGACUUUUCUCUGAGCUAUAAGCAUAUCUAUUUAGUCUGCCUAAAAAACAGAUUAUUACCUUUGCUGCAGCUAACAUAAAGGAGAUUAGUUCUUGUGCUGACUGAUGCAGGAUUCACAAAGACGGCUUCGGCCGACUUUGUAAACUCGAUCUCAAAUCAAGUAAGACUACCCGCUGAACUUAAGCAUAUCAAUAAGCGGGGGA
rnacentral:misc_RNA from 1 species